rnacentral:tRNA from 1 species
AAGAAUAUAGUUAAUUAUAACAUUUGAUUUGCAUUCAAAAAGUAUUAGCUUUACUCUAAUUAUUCUUA